UACGAAGGGUGCAAGCGUUAUUCGGAAUCAUUGGGCGUAAAGCGCGCGCAGGCGGAUUAAUAAGUCAUGUGUGAAAUCUCGAGGCUCAACCUCGAAACUGCGCCUGAAACUAUUAGUCUAGAAUGUCGGAGGGGGCAGGGGAAUUUCACGUGUAGGGGUAAAAUCCGUAGAGAUGUGAAGGAACACCGGAGGCGAAGGCGCCUGCCUGGACGACUAUUGACGCUGAGGCGCGAAAGCGUGGGGAGCAAACAGG
rnacentral:rRNA from 1 species